rnacentral:rRNA from 1 species
UACGUAGGUGACAAGCGUUGUCCGGAAUUACUGGGCGUAAAGAGCUCGUAGGUGGUUUGUCGCGUUGUUCGUGAAAACUCACAGCUUAACUGUGGGCGUGCGGGCGAUACGGGCAGACUGGAGUACUGCAGGGGAGACUGGAAUUCCCGGUGUAGCGGUGAAAUGCGCAGAUAUCGGGAGGAACACCAGUGGCGAAGGCGGCACUCUGGGCCAGUACUGACACUGAGGAGCGAAGGUCAGGGGAGCAAACGGG